AUGGCGACGACGGUGGUGCCGCUCGCCGCGGCCAUGGCCGCCGCUCCAAGGUCUCGUCUCCUGGGCGCUCCAGACCCCUCCCCGUUCCUCGGGAUCCGCCCGCUCCUCUGCCGCUCUGCGCGCAGCGUCGCCUGCGCCCUUCGCCGACCUUCCAAGAAUAAAAUUAAAAACGAGGUGGUGGUAGCAGAGGAUGACAUUGAUGGAGGUGACGAGGAUGACGAUGACGAGGGUGGGUUGGAAGCACUUUUCAAGCAGCUGGAAGAAGAUCUGAAGAACGACGAUCUAUCUGUCGAGGAUGAUGAUGAUGAUGAAAUAUCAGAGGAAGAUAUGGCCAGGUUUGAACAGGUAUUGGCAGAAGCCAUGGGAGAUAUCGAUGUCGCUGAUGAAUCUGCAGUGGAUUUGGUGCCAGGCUCUGAAGUUGUUGGUAAUGAUGAGGUAGCAGAUCCAAUCGAAAAGCCAGAGCUCAAAAGCUGGCAGCUCCGGAGAUUGGCUCUUGCACUGAACAUUGGUCGGCGUAAAACUAGUAUUAAGAAUCUUGCAGGGGAGCUUGGCCUGGAUAGGGGUUUGGUCAUUGAAUUGCUCCGCAAUCCGCCUCCAGAACUUCUACUUAUGUCUGAUUCUUUGCCUGAUGAAGCCCCUUCUAAACCUGAAACUAAAGAAAUAGAGCCCUCUCCAGUAGCUGAUGAGGUUGAAGUUGAUGAGAUUGAAGCCACUGAAACCGAGCCACAGAUGGACCUUCCGGUUCACGUCAUGAGCACAGAAUGGUCUGCGCAGAAAAGACUGAAAAAGGCGCAGCUGGAAACACUAGAAAAAGUUUACUUCAAAUCCAAACGGCCCACUAAUACUAUGAUCAGUAGCAUAGUUCAAGUUACGAGCCUUCCACGAAAGACAAUUAUUAAGUGGUUUGAGGAUAGAAGGGAGCAAGAUGGUGUACCAGACCGUCGUGCCGCAUACAUGAGAUCCCUAUCUGAGACGAUGGCUAGUUGA
rnacentral:rRNA from 1 species